AAGUAAUUAGCAUAAUUUAAGUGUGCUUGGUUUCGGCCCAAGAAGUAAAAAUAUUUUAUUACUUU